UGGGCGGUCGUUCAAUGGUAGGAUACCUGUUUUGCAUGCAGUGUGAUGCGGGUUCGAUUCCCGUCUGCUCCA
rnacentral:tRNA from 2 species